rnacentral:sRNA from 1 species
UUUUUAUAUAUUAUUAAAUUAUUUACAAACCCACGCAACGCGUGAGACAUUUCCUAGUAUUUUUAUAAGAAUAUGCACAAAAUAACCAUAGAUUGUAAAAGAAUUAACAAACUAGCCAUGCUGUUACAGUACACUCUAUUUCUUCACUUGCAAUUACUUUUAUACCCAUUUCGAACUUUAUAUAUAUUACACGUUAUUUUCCAAAAUUACACAAAACACUUAGAUGAUUCUAUGGCGAAAAACUUCCGACGAAUCCGAAACAAACUACCACUCAUCUCUCUUUCUUCCACCACCACAACCACCACAUCUUCCACCAUCACAACCACCAGAUCUCUUUUUCGAUAAAUGUAGGCUGCCAAACGUUAUUUAUAUUGAUAGAUUAUUUCUCCCUUAAUUUGUAGAAGAUUUCUCAUUUUAUUUUGUUCGAUUUUGAUUUUUUUUGGAAUCUCCGUCGUUAUGUUUUCUUUUUAAAUUGUAUGUUAUUUUUUUUAACCACGUUAUUUUUUUAAAUUACACGUGAUAACUGAAAAUCUCUUUCUGUCAACAUACUACUUUUUCAUAUAACAGAUCAUUUAUUAUCAUAA